AAAGAUUAAGCCAUGCAUGUCUAAGUAUAAACGAUUUAAUCGUGAAACCGCGAAUGGCUCAUUAUAACAGCUAUAAUUUACUUGAUCUUGACACAAUCCUACUUGGAUAACUGUGGUAAUUCUAGAGCUAAUACAUGCAUUAAAGCUCUGACCUCACGGGAAGAGUGCAUUUAUUAGAACAAAACCAAGCGGCUUCGGCUGUUUCUGGUUGACUCAUAGUAACUGAGCUGAUCGCAUGGUCUUGCACCGGCGACGUGUCUUUCAAGUAUCUGCCGUAUCAACUUUCGAUGGUAGUGUAUCUGACUACCAUGGUGAUCACGCGUAACGGAGAAUAAGGGUUCGGCUCCGGAGAGUUCGCCUGAGAAAUCGCGAACACAUCUAAGGAAGGCAGCAGGCGCGAAAAUUACCCACUCUCAGCACGAGGAGGUAGUGACGAAAAAUAACGAGACCGUUCUCUUAUGAGGCCGGUCAUCGGAAUGGGUACAAUUUAAACCCUUUAACGAGUAUCUAUGAGAGGGCAAGUCUGGUGCCAGCAGCCGCGGUAAUUCCAGCUCUCAAAGUGCAUAGAAUUAUUGCUGCGGUUAAAAAGCUCGUAGUUGGAUCUGUGCCAUAGGACGUGGUCCACCUUCGGGUGCGUACUACGCUCCUAGGCUUUUUGCUGGUUUUCCCGUCGUAGCCUUCACUGGUUGCGGCGGGUGGCUGGCGAGUUUACUUUGAGAAAAUCAGAGUGCUCAAUACAGGCGUAUCGCUUGAAUGAUUGUGCAUGGAAUAAUAGAAAAGGAUUUCGGUCCUCUUUUAUUGGUUUUGUGGACUGAGAUAAUGGUUAACAGGGACAAACGGGGGCAUUCGUAUCUCUGCGUGAGAGGUGAAAUUCUUGGACCGUAGAGAGACGCCCUACUGCGAAAGCAUUUGCCAAGAAUG
rnacentral:rRNA from 1 species